rnacentral:lncRNA from 1 species
UGUCAGUGAUGAAUUUGCCUUUGACAGUGUGGCCGGUAAGAUAAUAUUUAUUUCGUUUGGAUAAUGGUUAGCUGCAUUAACUAUGCUUUAAAUUAAAUGUAAGUGUGUUUUAAAAUACUAACCAUGCUGAUAGUAAGUAAGUGGUCAUGAAAUUAGAUUCAGUGCCUAUAUUUCUUAUUUUAAAAUAUAAUUGUGGUCUUAUUAUCCCCCUAAACAGGUGGGGAGGAGUCCCAGGAUGUUGGUGAGAAAUGUUUAGAUAAUAUGAUGCUGCACAAACAUUUACUAAUUAUGAUGUAAAUGAAAAAUAGGUAUGUUUUUUCAUUCUUACAUUUGCAAUACUGGGUAAAUGUAAAUAAAAAAAUAUAUAGAUAUUUUUAGCAUCUUGAAUUUAAAAGAAGGAUAUUUAAAUACAUUGCUUUAAUAAGAAAAUAAGAUAUUUAAUCUUCUAAUCUCCUACACAUGUGAUACAACAUACCAACAUUUGGGGGAGAAAUGCUAGAUAAUUAAGUUUUAAAAAAUUAUGAUAAUAACGAUUAUUACAAUUUUGAAUAGGUAUGUUUUUCUGAUACUGGGUAAAUGGUCAUGACUAAAAUAAUAUGCCACAUCUUGAGUGAAAAUAAUUCACAUCUUAAUAUCUUCUAAUCAGGUGAUGAGAUUGAUACAAACCAUGACAUGGGUGAGAAAUGCUUAGAUAUUAUGAAGCUCCAUAGAAAUGCAAUGAUUAUAUUGUGACAUUUACAGUACUGGGUAAAUGGUGAUCUAACAGACUGCAGGGCCUUGGCCAAUUUUUUUUGCUAAAUAACAUGUUUUAAUUAUAUACAUUUAACUUCCAUCUUCUUAUCUCUGAAACAGUGGAUGCCACGUACCAAGAAAUUCUGGUGAGUUGUGAGUUCCAAAUGAGCUUUGACUAAUGAUAACUAAUGAUUAUGUUGACUCUUAGUUGUAUAGGCUUACAGGUCUAGACUCAAUUUCUUCCUCUUGUACUUUUCGCGCCUAUUGUAAUUUUAUAUUUCAGGUUGAAACACGGAAAAUUAAACACGUUAUAGCACGUAUUCGAGAUGCAGCAAAUCAAGGCCCAUAUACAGAAGUUGUGUAUGCCAAGUUAUGCAAGAAGAAAAGACAUCAUCAAUACAUGCCUUAAUCCUCAUUAGAUCGGCA